rnacentral:rRNA from 1 species
GAUGAACGCUGGCGGCGUGCCUAAUACAUGCAAGUCGAGCGAAGCGGGGACGGGUGAGUAACAUGUGGAUAACCUCCUAUAAGACUGGGAAAACUUCGGGAAACCGUAGCUUAACCGGAUUCUUAUACAUGGAUGAGUGGUGCAUUAGCUAGUUGGUAAGGUAACGGCUUACCAAGGCAACGAUGCAUAGCCGACCUGAGAGGGUGAUCGGCCACACUGGAACUGAGACACGGUCCAGACUCCUACGGUAGGCAGCAGUGGGGAAUCUUCCGCAAUGGGCGAAAGCCUGACGGAGCAACGCCGCGUGAGUGAUGAAGGUCUUCGGGUCGUAAAACUCUGUUAUUAGGGAAGCGGUACCUAAUCAGAAAGCCACGGCUAACUACGUGCCAGCCGCGGCGGUAAUAC